GAUGAACGCUGGCGGCGUGCCUAAUACAUGCAAGUCGAGCGAACGGACGAGAAGCUUGCUUCUCUGAUGUUAGCGGCGGACGGGUGAGUAACACGUGGAUAACCUACCUAUAAGACUGGGAUAACUUCGGGAAACCGGAGCUAAUACCGGAUAAUAUUUUGAACCGCAUGGUUCAAAAGUGAAAGACGGUCUUGCUGUCACUUAUAGCUGGAUCCGCGCUGCAUUAGCUAGUUGGUAAGGUAACGGCUUACCAAGGCAACGAUGCAUAGCCGACCUGAGAGGGUGAUCGGCCACACUGGAACUGAGACACGGUCCAGACUCCUACGGGAGGCAGCAGUAGGGAAUCUUCCACAAUGGGCGAAAGCCUGACGGAGCAACGCCGCGUGAGUGAUGAAGGUCUUCGGAUCGUAAAGCUCUGUUAUUAGGGAAGAACAUAUGUGUAAGUAACUGUGCACAUCUUGACGGUACCUAAUCAGAAAGCCACGGCUAACUACGUG
rnacentral:rRNA from 1 species